CAAGGGGAGUGGGUCAGGGUACUAAUAGGGCAGGACAGAGUUGAGUAAGUUAGUCUUGAGGUUAUUGAAGCCUCGUUGAAGAAUUUAGGAUGCAAGGGGUGGGAUCCCUUAUAGUCAGUUAUUACAAGAGAGAGAGAGAGAGAGAGAGGGGGGGGGGGGGGGGGGGGG